rnacentral:rRNA from 1 species
UACGUAGGUGGCAAGCGUUGUCCGGAUUUACUGGGUGUAAAGGGCGUGCAGCCGGAGAGACAAGUCAGAUGUGAAAUCCACGGGCUCAACCCGUGAACUGCAUUUGAAACUGUUUCCCUUGAGUGUCGGAGAGGUAAUCGGAAUUCCUUGUGUAGCGGUGAAAUGCGUAGAUAUAAGGAAGAACACCAGUGGCGAAGGCGGCCACCUGGACCGGUAUUGACGCUGAGGCGCGAAAGCGUGGGGAGCAAACAGG